rnacentral:rRNA from 1 species
GACGAACGCUGGCGGCGUGCCUAAUACAUGCAAGUCGAACGCUUCUUUCCUCCCGAGUGCUUGCACUCCAUUGGAAAGAGGAGUGGCGGACGGGUGAGUAACACGUGGGUAACCUACCCAUCAGAGGGGGAUAACACUUGGAAACAGGUGCUAAUACCGCAUAACAGUUUAUGCCGCAUGGCAUAAGAGUGAAAGGCGCUUUCGGGUGUCGUUGAUGGAUGGACCCGCGGUGCAUUAGCUAGUUGGUGAGGUAACGGCUCACCAAGGCCACGAUGCAUAGCCGACCUGAGAGGGUGAUCGGCCACACUGGGACUGAGACACGGCCCAGACUCCUACGGGAGGCAGCAGUAGGGAAUCUUCGGCAAUGGACGAAAGUCUGACCGAGCAACGCCGCGUGAGUGAAGAAGGUUUUCGGAUCGUAAAACUCUGCUGUUAGAGAAGAACAAGGACGUUAGUAACUGAACGUCCCCUGACGGUAUCUAACCAGAAAGCCACGGCUAACUACGUG